UUCAAUUUAUAAGCGGAAAUAAAAAUCGUAGUGAGCUGCAUGACUCGCUGAUAUCUGCAUGUCUGAGCAUGCCUCACCCAGCUGAAAUAUCACUGCAACUCCUCCAAAAGCAUAUCAAACACUCUAAACAAAUCAAACAAAUACAUUCUUUUCUAAUCACCAACAAUCUCCUCCUCUUCAAUCCAAACACCAAUGCAUUUAAAUGGAUUUGCACACUUCUUUACAACACUCUCAUUAGAGCUUACCUCCACACAGAUCCUCACAACUCAUUAGUUUUACACAAACACAUGCUCGUCCAUCGAGUUCCACCAAAUAGUCACACUUACCCUUCACUUGUCAAAGCGGCAUCUCUUUUGCGCUCGUCGAAGUUACAUCUCUUGUUCCCUGGAUCACUUUAUAGUCAAGUGAUUAGACGUGGGGUGUUGAAAGACCCGUUUGUUGAGACGUCUUUUUUGUGUUUGUUUGCAGAAAAUGGGAAUCUUGGUGAUGCGCGGAAGGUGUUUGAUGAAAUGCCUGAACCGUGUGUUGUUUCGUAUAAUGCGAUGCUGGAUGCUUUGUGCAAGAAUGGGGAAAUGGGGUCGGCUGUUUUGGUGUUUCAAAGGAUGCCUGUGAGAGAUGUUGUUUCUUGGACGAGUGUUGUUAAUGGGUAUGGAAGAAAUGAGUGUUUUUACGAGGCGAUUGUGUUUUUUAGGAUGAUGAUGGUGCAUGGAGAUGUGAGGGAGUUUUAUGUGAAACCGAAUGAAGCUACGUUUGUUAGUGUGCUAUCCUCGUGUGCUAAUUUGCUAGGUGGAGGUGGUUUGUAUUAUGGAAAGCAAAUUCAUGCUUAUAUGAUCAAGAAUGAGAGGGAAUUGACUGUGUUCAUGGGGACGGCGAUGAUAGCACUCUAUGGAAAAUUGGGGUGCUUGGUGUAUGCUGUAAGAGUUUUUGACAAUAUGGUAGAUAAACAAGUGUGUGCUUGGAAUGCACUGAUUUCGUCUUUGGCUAUGAAUAGUAUGGAGAACCAUGCAUUAGAUAUGUUUGAGAAGAUGAAAAGUAAAGGAGUGAAGCCCAAUGAGGUCACUUUUGUUGCUGUCCUUGUUGCUUGUGCUCGUGCUAAUCUUGUGGAGCUAGGUUUAGAAUUGUUUGAGUCAAUGUCACGUGUGUCUAGAAUCGUUCCAAGAAUGGAGCACUACGGAUGUGUAGUAGAUCUUCUUGGCAGAGCUGGGCUCCUGACAGAAGCACAAGAAUUUAUUAGAAGAAUGCCUUUUGAGGCAGAUGCAUCUGUACUGGGAGCUUUAAUGGGUGCUUGCAAAGUGCAUGGAGCCAUCGAAUAUGGUAAUGAAGUUGCAAAAAGAGUUAUGGAAUUGCAACCACUGCAUUGUGGACGAUAUGUACUUUUGUCGAGUAUAUAUGCGGAAGCUGAUAGGUGGGACAAUGCCGCUGAAUUAAGGAAAGCCAUGGAUAUCAACCCUUAUGCAGAAUUUAGAUGGAGCUUUACUACUAUACAAAGAGAUGACCUUGUUAUGCAGGGAUUAUUAGAGAUCAGCCUCCAAGAGUAUCAGAUUAAUGUGUUUAAGAAACCACAGUCAAGUAACAAGUCUCUGCGUCACUGCUUCAUUCAUCCGACAACAGGCAAUUAUAAUCAUGAUUUGAAGACAAUGACAUGGAACAAAGGACAACAGACAACAGAAGACAUCUCAACACACAUGUAUCUUUUCAUGUAUAGGAGGAAAAGACCACACACCUGGUGCAGAUUUGCGUUUGAUUGCUACAGCAUCGUUCUUCAUUAUCAGUGCAGUGUCACCAGGCGAGGAACCACUCAAAUUCUCAUCCUGCUGAGACACCUUCGAGUCAUAAGUUUCAGACGUCGUGACUACAGAGUCACCUAAGGAUAUUUUUGAUGAUGAAGCAAGUUUCUCUUCACCUACGACGAAGGCUUUACUUUGACUGCUCCCAAUCUGUUCUGUAACCGGUUCUGCUGGUACAACUGCAUCAUAUACUAUCAUACUCGGGGAUUUUGAAAAGAUAUUCCCCAGGGAGUUAAGUAACCAUCGACAGCCAGAAGAGGAAUUAAAAGAAAUGGGGCCGGGUAAAUCAUCGUCUUGUUUUUUACUGCCACAGUAAAUACAAAUCAAUGACUUGGUCCCUCUCAGAAACUUGGCGUUGCAUUUUGUGCACCUCGGAAUCUCGGGCGGCGUAGACUUGUCGAGCUCGGAAAUGGAGGCGUCGAGUGAGGGAAGGGGAUGAAUGGACGGGUCGUGAGGAUCGUAUGUGGAUAGUCCGGAUUCUUUUCGGAGCAAGGCCUGGACUUUUUGUAUCAAAUCGUUGGGGAUCUCGGAUGCCAUUUAAUCUUGUUCCAAGUUCAAUUGAUAAUGCUGAAUUAGGGUUUGGUUUUACGCUGAUCUAAAUUUACGGUUUGUUGGUUUUCACCGUGACUGUUACCACGGUAAAGAUGUAUUGCCAAUUGGAACGAAGAUUAAAAAUACAUGCAGGGGUUAUUACUACUUUUUGUUAUUGUUUAAAUUUAUUAAUUAUAUAUUUAUAUUUUUGUUUAUA